rnacentral:rRNA from 1 species
CCUACGGGCGGCUGCAGUGGGGAAUAUUGGACAAUGGGGGCAACCCUGAUCCAGCCAUGCCGCGUGUGUGAAGAAGGCCCUCGGGUUGUAAAGCACUUUCAGUGAGGAAGAACGCCUGGUGGUUAAUACCCAUCAGGAAAGACAUCACUGACAGAAGAAGCACCGGCUAACUCCGUGCCAGCAGCCGCGGUAAUACGGAGGGUGCGAGCGUUAAUCGGAAUUACUGGGCGUAAAGCGCGCGUAGGUGGCUUGAUAAGCCGGUUGUGAAAGCCCCGGGCUCAACCUGGGAACGGCAUCCGGAACUGUCAAGCUAGAGUGCAGGAGAGGAAGGUAGAAUUCCCGGUGUAGCGGUGAAAUGCGUAGAGAUCGGGAGGAAUACCAGUGGCGAAGGCGGCCUUCUGGACUGACACUGACACUGAGGUGCGAAAGCGUGGGUAGCAAACAGGAUUAGAUACCCUGGUAGUC